UUAAUAACGGUGGUGGUAGGCAUUUCUUGCUGAGAGAUAUGUAUGAUGAUAUGAUGCUGGAUGGAGUACAGCCAACUAGGGAAACAUUCCAUUCUGUCAUCAGUUAGUGGAAAGGUGGAUAAGCAAAAUGCUCAUUUCUUUGGUGUUACGAUCAACGAGCAACAAGCCGAGUGUGGUAUUGUAGUAAGAGUUACUUCAAAUGCACAAAGCAAAUUUAAGUUACUUUAUUUCGAGCAAGAUGUGAAUGGCGGUUAUGGUUUGGCCCUACAGAAUGUAUGCAGAAGAAAGAAGUUACUACUUUUUCUCUAGGUGAUUGAUGAAAUAGAUGGAGCUCUUGGUGAUGGCAAAGGUGCUGUGGAGGUUAUUCUAAAGAUGAUAAGAAGGCUCUCUAAAACCCUGCAGUUUUCUCUCUGAGUCGCCUCUUCACCAUCUCCUUCAAAACGCGCAGUCUCCACGCUUACAAUCCGGCCGAUGCGAAAGGAAACAGAGGGCUCCUAAGGUCUGGUUAUGGAUAAAGAGAUGGAGGGGAAAAUUCCCCUAGAAAGUUUAUCAUUCAUAUGGAGUUUCGUUUUCAUGAUUCCCUGGAAAAUGGUACACCCGAAAGUUUAUCAUUCAUAUGGAGUUUCCUUUUCAUGAUUCUUUUCAUGCAAACUAGAUAGUAUUUUUUGCUUAUUGACAGCUAGUUGCUAUCUGCAGGGUUCAUAUAUUUGUUCAACCAACAGUUAAUCGUGUUGUCAGCAGGUGAUCCUUGACUACCAUGACUGAUGUUUAAUUGCUGUGACAAUUUCAAGCCUUUCCAUUUCUGAUGGGGAACAUUGGGUCAAGUUGGGAUUGAUACCAACAGAGGCUUUUGUAGGAACUGUAAUAUUCUCUAGGAGCUGUAAUAUUCUCUAGGAGGUGUAUUCUCUUGUUUUAAUUCAUAAAACACUUGUACAAUUUCCUCUUGCUAAUUCAGAUUUUGUUUUUAGUUUUUGUACUUGAUUCUCGUGUCAAUAUGAUGUGUAAGGAUCCAAUUUCAUUAUUAAAUUCUCCAUAUUAUUUGAUACGUGGAGAAGCAAUA